GGCCUAUUCGUGGGGGCGGAGCCUGUCGCAACCCUCGUCCUUUCCGCAUGUUCCGAGAUCAUGGCACCGCCCAGUGGGCGGGCCCUCAAGCUGAAAGCGAGGGGGUCUGCUGCCGAAAAGAGGCCAGAGCCUGUGGGCACCGGAGAGGUAUACUGGAAUCUGAUGCUAGUUAUACAUCUCUAAACUGUGAAGAGGAUGGUUUUCCAUCUGUACCAGUUCUGGGCCUGCUUCUUGAAUCCACACCUCUGCUCCACAUCACUGGCAAGCCAAUACCUGCAAGUUAUAUUCUCUGACUUUCCCGUUCCAAGGACUUACUUCACCAAUCUUAUCCAAGGGAGGACCCAAAACCUUCCUGUGGGAAAGAGCCUCUUCUCACAUCUCUAUUGAGAUCUGAGGGCCACUUGCUAAAAUAGGCAGGACCCUGUGCCUCUCAGCAAUACAGUCCCAGUGGAUGGGGGAGCGAGGUGGAAGGGAGCCACCAUCACCUGCCAACGGAAAGGGAAGAGAGGGGAGGAGCUGGAACAAUCUGCGUGGGUUUGGGACAGUGAUUUUUGAGUGAUCAGAUGGUCUCCAGCUCCCUGUUAAGUGUCUGCACCAACUUGUAUUGAUUCCCAAACAUACCUCACUUCCGUUCAAGGAGAAGUCCUUUCCCACCACAGCCGGGCUGUUCUGCUGACCCUCAACCCUCUCCACACUCCUGCUGAGCUGACUCAUCCUUCAGGGCCUGAUUGCCACCGCUGCUCCCGCCAGGCACAGCUGUUGUUGGCCACACCUGCAGCCAUGCCGCCGGGGUCCUGGGCAAUGCCACUGCCCCUGCUUGAUUGCAGGCCACAGCAUGCACAGGAGGCUAUCGCUUCUUAGGGGAAUACCUGAACACCGCAAGCAUGCUUUGUCAACGUCUUCCCCUAUUUUGAUCUGGUGCCUGGACCUUCCUUCCAUGCCUCCCCCUCCCACACCCAGGCCUGGCAGCACUCUGAUCCAGGAGCCUCCCUCUGUGUGACAGGGAUAACCUGGAUGCUCACAGACCUUGUCAGCCUGCGGGAACGAAAGAGACCACGAUAUCAUUUGGACACAUAUGUUCCUAAUUCAAUACUACAUCAUCCUAACCGAGGUAAACUUCAAGGCUCAGGAUCGUCACAAGCUCGCUGUGCCCUUGGCAUCUGGGGGAGUCCCAGCGUUGCCCCAUGCAUGCUUCUGCAGCGGUCAGAUCUGUUGCUUUUGCUGCCUCCUCUGCUCUGCCCUGGACAUCAGUGAGGCAGAUGUUCCUGUGGCAGGGCUUGCCCCUGAACGUCUCUCAAUAGUCUGUCGGACUGCUGGUCAGUGCGUGUGCCCCGCAUACUACCUCUUGCCUCCAUGGGUUCCUUUCCCUCUUUCUUCUCCCCCAACCCCGAGUUGUAACAGAGAACACACAGCUGCCCUGCCGGAUUCUACAUCCCCCAGACUUCCCACAGAUAAGUAUGGCUAUAUAGCUGCGGUUUGUUGUCAAUAGGAGGUGAGCAGAAGCGAUGUGGCAGCUUCCUUGGCUUACCCCUGGGGCUGUGGACUCAGAAAUGGGAGCCUCAUUUUGAGAAUAGUAGCAUCAAGCCACCAACCUGGGUCCCAGAUGACUCUUUGGGACAGAACUGGCCCUGCCAGCUGUGAACUACUCAUAUCUAGACUUUUCAUGUGAGAAAAAUAAACUUGCAUCCCAUUUAAGUUAGCCUGUAUCCUAAGUAAUAGAGUAUUGACUCAAGAACAGUCAAUCUGUAGGCGUCCAAUCUAAUUUAGAUCCUCUUACACCCCUUUAUGGCACCCUGUACUUCUCCUUCAAAGCACGUAUCACAACUUGCAAUUAAAUAAUUAUUUGGGUAAUGUAGUGUUCGCUAUCGAUUGCCUUCCCAACAGCUAUCUCCCCUCCCUCCUUUUUAUCUCAUGGAAUCCCAAUGUCAUUCAGGUAUUCAUGGCUUCCUCCUUCAGACUCAUGCUGCAUGAAAAGAUGAGAGUAAGCCCAUCAGAUUGUCUCUCUGAGAUUUUGAAGUAAGAAACAAAUAAUAAUAAUGAGAGGGAGCGGCAGGGAGUAACGAAGCAGGCGGAUUGUGCCCUUGAUGACCUGUGCAUCGUGCCAGCUGAGGAUCUGCAGCCACCUGGAUCCAGGAUCACGUCCCCAUUCCAGUCUCUGUUCUUGAUCUUCCCUAGACAGCCUCUAAAAUGAUCCCUAAAAUACACCAUCUUUCCCUGGGCUAACAAGAGUGCCCACUUGUUUCUCAUAACUGAGCAGGCCUGGAUAAAGCGGUAACUUUGGGCAAAUUUAUUUAACAAAGGUCUUUGAACACCCACCAUGUCCUAGGCACUGCUGUACUCACUAGGGGUACUAGGGAGAACAGAUGGGUCACCUAGAGCAUCUCUCUGAGAAGCAAAGUCAACUACACUCCUCUACCUGCUUAGAAUUCUUCAAUGGCUUCUAGUUGACCUCACAACAAAGCCCUAAAUCCUUACGGUUUACAGCCAACCUUGCGUGAUACAGCCUCUGUCUGUCGUUUGAACCUCUAUCCUGUUACUUUACCCCUCUUUCCACUUACACCAGAUCAGAUCACUUUCAGGCCCCCCGGUGUGCAAGCUUCUCUCAUGCUUGAAGCUGUUGUACUUACUCUUCCAUUUACUCGAGUGUGGUAAGCAAAGGUACGAGGCCAGGAUCAGGAUGGUGGUGAGGAUAACAAUAAUACUACCACCUGAGCACUUACUUGUACUUUGCAUGUAUUCUUCUUAGUCUUCAUAACAAUGUCACAAAGUAGGUUCUGUGUUCCCCAUCUUACAGACGAGGAAGCUGAGGCUUCAGGAGUUCAGUAACCGGCUUCAGACCACACGCUUAAGUGGUGGCAAAGCCAACAUUGGAAGCCAAGCCUAUUUGACUCCAAAGGACAGGCUGUCUGGGCCAGCUGUCAUCUCUCUACCACUCUUUUCGAGUUGAGCUGCUGGAGGCGGACAGGCUUGGGUUGGAAUUCAGGACUCUACCACUUUCUGAGUGGGUAGCCUUGAGCAAGUUACCCAAUCUCCCUGAGCCUCAGUUUCCUCAUUUUACAAAUGAGGCCAGCAAGAGAACCUACCUGAGAAGGUCACGGUGGCGUUAAAAUGAAAGCAUGCACGUUAAGGCAUGCCCUAGACCAGUACACUUGGUAGAUACCAUUUCCUUAUCACCGUUAUUACCUUCUCCACUUAGGCGAGUAGCUCUCUCCUUCUCCCUGUCCAGGUUAGAGCCCUGCAUCUUGUCACAGACACGGCCUAAGAGCUGCUUCUCUGCCAGGCCUCCUGGGGCCAGGCCUGCACAACUCUGUGGAAGGAAGCUUGGGCCCGCGCAGGAAUGGCCUGUAAUUGAUCCCAGUUAGAGGUGGACAGGCCCUGUCCUCCUCGGCUGGGGCCUCAGGAAGCAGGGCGCUGCCUGAUUUAUGUCCCUGCUGCACCGAGGAUGACCUGGUGACCUCUCUACGUGUCCUAGCAUCAGACAAGGCCAUAAAACAGAAUUGGUGUUGCACAUUUGUUCCUAUCAGGGCCGACUUGUACACUGGUGCACCCAGCUUAGGUCAGUCCCCUGCAGGGCCCUCCCCAGGAAAGGCUGGUGUGUGUGGCCGCUCUGUGCGGCCGGGCCACCGGAAGUUCAGGGACGGUGUACAGAAGGGAAAUCACAAUCUCACAUGUUUUCAUGGCUUCCGUGACCAUCCUCAGUGAAAGACACCCAAUCCACAUCCUGAACCUCCAGCUCCCCACACCCACCCUGGCCUCAGACCCAGUCUCAGUGACCUGCUGGACACCUCCUCCUGCAGAUACCAAAGGCCUCGUCUGAACUCAUGGUGUUCGCCUCUCUGCUGGUUCUUCCUCCCUCAUCUGUCGGCCCCAGAAGCCGACACCUGGGCCAAAGAAGUCGCUUCCUCCCUGGCCUGGUGCAGCUUCUUUGCACAGACUCCUUGAUAGCUCUGACCACACCAUUUUGUGGUUAGAACAACUUAUUGCAGCCUUCGCCAUUAUCUGUAUCUCUGUCUCCUCCAAUAGACUGUAAAGUCCUACAGGCAAGAGACCACAUUUGAUUCAUCUCUGCACCCCCAGGGCCUAGUGUAGAGCCUGGCACAGAGGACCUGCCAUGAACCUUUGAUGAAUGAAUGAGUGAAUGGAUGGAUAAAUAGAUGGAUGGAUGGCUGAAUAAUGAGCAUAGAUGCGUAUCUUUUGAGGUAGUUUUCAAAUAAAGAACAGGGCUUUUGAGGAGGGACUCCCAAGUUCCCCUGGGAAUAGUGUGAUUAGAUAUCAGCAUCCUACAGCCAGAUUAACCUUAAAAUUGCAUACUCUGAGCUAUACUAGGACCUCUUCCAUAUUCAGAUGACAGAGACCCAGAGAGGUUAAAUAACUUCCUGAAGGUGAACAGUGAUUUAGUGGCAGAGCCCCCGGAUGAGCCCCCAAACUUCCUGUCUCCACUGUCUGCAGCCUCUUCCUCUCUUUCUACGUGCUGACCUUUAGUGAGCUCUUCAUGAACUCCAGAGCUUGGCUUCCAGAAAUAGAAAGCAGUGAGUCUUCUGGACUAUCUACAGGGUUUUAUUACCAACAAGGUGAUCCAUGGCAGAGAAAUUGAGAUGAGCUUCUCAGAAUUUGCAGUUCUAAGAGUAGCAUAGGACUAUAUGACUACAUGGCCCUUAUCUUCUCUGAGCCUCAGUUUCCUCACCUGCAAAAUGGGAAUAAGAAUAGGAUCUGUCCCAGCAUAAUGCAUGUUUUUCACUUUAGGCUCUUGUAAUAGGUUGUAUUAUUAUUCCCAACUAUUUGUUGAACUCUCAGUAAAAGGGUUAUCAUCCAUCUCUGACCAUAGCAAUGAGACUCACAGUGCUUCUCUGUGGGGAGGGCUAUACCUCACUGUCCCCUUGGUGUCUGCCUAGGCCAUUCGCUUCCUUUGGCCAAUGGAACAUGAAUAGAAGCUACAUGUGCCACAUCCCAGCAGACGCUUUAAGAGUCAUUGUAAGACUCAGCCAUGGCAUUUUCGCUUCUGUCUCUGGAAUGAUAUAGCGGCCACUCCUUCAGUCUGAGACCCAGAAUGUGAACACAUAUAGAACAGGACCUCAAAUGACCUACUGUCAUGUGGUGUAAAUAAGAAAUAAACCUUGUUGUUGUCAGCUGUUGAGACUGUGGGGUGGUUUCUGCUGCAUAGCCUAGCAAAUGCUGACUAGUAAUCUUUUGCUUAUAAUCUAGACAGACUUGUUUGGGACAUCUUAAAACAGAGGGUAGAGUUUGUCGCAAUGAUAUCCGUAAAAAUGCAUCAAAUCCUUGGGGGUCCUAGAACUAAGUAUUGGGCAGUAGUCGGAUAAGCUGCCAUAAUAAGAGGCUUCAAAAUAAAAGUCUUAAACAAGGUACACAUUUAUUUCUUUCCUAAAACAGAAGACGUAAAUGACUGGUCCAGGGUGGUUAGGAAGCUCUGCUGGGUGAGGUCACCCAAACAUCCAGUUUCUCUGCAACCUGCAUCCCCCGCUACCAUCCAAGAUGUUCUCCUCAUCUCUACCAUGUCCACAUUCCAGCCUGCAGGAAGGAGGACAGAGAGAGCGGAAUGACCAGUGCUCCUGGUCGUAAGGAGAUGGCCCAGUUUGGUGAAAGAUGUACUUGCUGAGGUAGCAGAGGGCCUCUGGCUGAGGGACAGCUGUGCCCUAUAUCACAAGAUAAGCUACUGAGGCACAGAAAGAUGAAGAAGUACCGACAGGGUCACCGGUUAGUGGCAGAACCAUUGCAAAUCUAAGCAGCCUGGCUCCGGAGCCUCCGAGUGCAACCCCCGCAUCAUACAGCCUCUCAAGAUGUCAGCAGCCCACCCCAGACCUAAAGAAUCAGAUCCUCUGAGGGAGGGACAUGGGAAUCUGCAUUUGAACAAGUUUCAAAUAGGUGGUUCUGAUGCACAGCCAGAGUCAGACUGCGGAUCUAAAAAGUAGCAGCAAGCCUGGGGCUGCGUGACUAGAACAAAUAAGUCUGCUUCCGGGAUUUUCAAGUUUGUCUGAUCAUGUGAACAUGAGGCCUGCUGAAUAAUGUUGACGGAUUGUGUCCUCUUUGUGAGGGGUGAACCCAAACCCAGGUCAAUCACAAAGAACCUGUGAGCAGAAGGCCAACUCAGGAGACCUGCCCAUGAGACAUUUUCUGAAGGGGCUCCAGCCACUGGCCACCAUCCUUGGAACUCUGUGUACCUGCCUAGUUCCUGGACUUUGAUCUCCCAUCUGACCUCCUUCUCACCCCUGCUCUGAUCUGACAACUCCUGCUGGGUUGACCCCAUCUCUGACCCCAGCCCGCCUGGGUUUUCAGUCUCACUGCUCCAGGCUGAAGUCUCACAGGAUGACAGCCUGAGGCAAGACAGUAUUUGCUUCGGCCACCAAUAAUGGGAGCAGGAUGCCACCUCUUCUAAUGAUGUAAUGACAAAUGGAAUAUUCAUGUUAAAAGAACUGUGACUUUCAGGGUGGAAUUCGGGUAAUCUCAAACCAACUCUGUGACCAUCACUGAACGUGGAAUGUUGAAAUAGAAAUAAACAGGCCUUCAUCCCAA